rnacentral:rRNA from 1 species
AAUCAACGCUGGCGGCGUGCCUAACACAUGCAAGUCGAACGCGAAAGCCCCGCAAGGGGCAAGUAGAGUGGCAAACGGGUGAGUAACACGUGGGUGACCUGCCUUCGAGCGGGGGAUAACGUCCCGAAAGGGACGCUAAUACCGCAUGACAUCCUGCCUUUGAAGAGGCGGAGAUCAAAGCUGGGGAUCGCAAGACCUAGCACUCGAAGAGGGGCCCGCGCCUGAUUAGCUAGUUGGUGGGGUAAUGGCUCACCAAGGCGACGAUCAGUAGCCGGCCUGAGAGGGCGGACGGCCACACUGGGACUGAGACACGGCCCAGACUCCUACGGGAGGCAGCAGUGGGGAAUUGUUCGCAAUGGGCGCAAGCCUGACGACGCAACGCCGCGUGGAGGACGAAGAUCUUCGGGUCGUAAACUCCUUUCGAUCGAGACGAACGGCCUCCGGGUGAACAAUCCGGAGGAGUGACGGUACCGAGAGAAGAAGCCCCGGCUAACUCCGUGCCAGCAGCCG